rnacentral:rRNA from 1 species
AACGAACGCUGGCGGCAGGCUUAACACAUGCAAGUCGAGCGCCCCGCAAGGGGAGCGGCAGACGGGUGAGUAACGCGUGGGAAUCUACCCAUCUCUACGGAAUAACGCAUGGAAACGUGUGCUAAUACCGUAUACGUCCUUCGGGAGAAAGAUUUAUCGGAGAUGGAUGAGCCCGCGUUGGAUUAGCUAGUGGGUGGGGUAAAGACCUACCAAGGCGACGAUCCAUAGCUGGUCUGAGAGGAUGAUCAGCCACACUGGGACUGAGACACGGCCCAGACUCCGACGGGAGGCAGCAGUGGGUAAUAUUGGACAAUGGGCGCAAGCCUGAUCCAGCCAUGCCGCGUGAGUGAUGAAGGCCCUAGGGUUGUAAAGCUCUUUCACCGGUGAAGAUAAUGACGGUAACCGGAGAAGAAGCCCCGGCUAACUUCGUGCCAGCCGCCGCCGUAAAAC